rnacentral:rRNA from 1 species
CCCGGCGACCGGCGCACGGGUGAGUAACGCGUAUGCAACUUACCUAUCAGAGGGGAUAACCCGGCGAAAGUCGGACUAAUACCGCAUGAAGCAGGGGCCCCGCAUGGGGAUAUUUGCUAAAGAUUCAUCGCUGAUAGAUAGGCAUGCGUUCCAUUAGGCAGUUGGCGGGGUAACGGCCCACCAAACCGACGAUGGAUAGGGGUUCUGAGAGGAAGGUCCCCCACAUUGGUACUGAGACACGGACCAAACUCCUACGGGAGGCAGCAG